rnacentral:rRNA from 1 species
CUACGGGUCGCUGCAGUGAGGAAUAUUGCACAAUGGGGGGAACCCUGAUGCAGCAACGCCGCGUGGAGGAUGACGCAUUUCGGUGUGUAAACUCCUUUUAUAUGUCAAGAAAAUGACGGUAGCAUAUGAAUAAGCACCGGCUAACUCCGUGCCAGCAGCCGCGGUAAUACGGAGGGUGCAAGCGUUACUCGGAAUCACUGGGCGUAAAGGACGCGUAGGCGGGUUGGAAAGUCAGGUGUGAAAUUCUACAGCUUAACUGUAGAACUGCACUUGAAACUUGUAAUCUAGAGUAUGGGAGGGGGAGAUGGAAUUAGUGGUGUAGGGGUAAAAUCCGUAGAUAUCACUAGGAAUACCUAAAGCGAAGGCGAUCUCCUGGAACAUUACUGACGCUAAGGCGUGAAAGCGUGGGGAGCAAACAGGAUUAGAUACCCUAGUAGUC